CCUGCAUUUAUCUGCCGAGUCUCUCAAAACCCGAGUGCGAUAGCCAAGUUGACAACAUGACAGCGCUGAAGGAAGUGGGGAUCCGAACAUAUAUUUCGCGCAAUACAUGACAAAGUUGUUCUCUUGAACCAUCAAAGCCGAGGUGAUGUCAGGGUCCUCAACUGCGACAACGAGGUCAUCCUCAAGGCUGGAAGCAGAGUUCGUCCUUCUGAGGAAAUCGCCAUACACCUUGUGAAAGAUCACACCGAUAUCCCAGUUCCGGAGAUCGUCCUUGCCGCCUACGUUGGCGAUGAAGGCCAACUGGCGAUGAAGUGCCAUUCUCAGCCCGCCGCUGACAGAAACUUAGGAUAGCCUGAACGAUACAACAAAGAAGCGCGUAUGUGUGUGUAAGGAUUGGCAGAAAUUGGUGGAUAUGAGAAGCUCCGAAGAAAUAUGACCUGAGUGGUAUUAUAGCAGCAAGGCAUUUCUUGUUUUAGCAUGGUCCUAUUCAGUUGGAAUUGAUAGCCUUACUUCGACCUUUUGAGUUCGCGACGACAUUACACAUUCCUCUUUGGACGUCUUUUGGUCGGUUUCUAUGGUAGUCAUAUCAGCUGCUUGAGAUAUUACCCAAUUUGCUCUUCUCAUCUGUCUUUCUUGAACAGACUGUUGUUGCCACCAAGAGUGCUAUACUUGUCUAACGCCAUCACCUAGGCUAGCCAUGAGAUCUAGCCUAGCCCGGAAAUUCCAUAUUCCCCAUUUAUCCCCCCAUGCACUUCAUGUGUUAGGCAUGGGAUACCUACUAAUUCCCCCGUGAUUCGAGAGCGGC
rnacentral:sRNA from 1 species